rnacentral:lncRNA from 1 species
GGUGAAGAACCUCUACUUGUCCUGCGAUCCCAUGAUGCGAUUUCUUAUCAUGAAAUCAGAUCAGAGAAUGAGUAAAUACAUUUAUCCUUCUCCUGGCUCUGUAAGUCAUGUUUUUACUAUCACAUUUUAACUUUUUACACAUUCUUAAUUUUUUAAAACUUGAUGGAAAUUUUGAUGCAAGUAAAAUCAAUGAAAGUUCCCUUAUUUUGAAUACAGCCAAUUUGUGGAUAUGGCGUGGCUAAAGUUUUGGAUUCAAGUCAUCCAGAAUUUAAAGAAGGUGACUUGGUAUGGGGGCUAACCAGAUGGGAAGAGUACAGCCUCCUCCCAAACCCUCAAAGCCUCAUCAAAAUCCACCACACCGACGUACCCCUUUCCUACUACACUGGAAUUCUCGGUAAGUAUAGCACUUUCUCAUGCAGGCGCGCUUAUAAUGACUAUUUUCGUGCGCUAAAACACUUGGUGGAUGCUCAUGCAGGUAUGGCCGGUAAGACUGCGUAUGCGGGUUUCUUUGAAGUAUGUCGACCUAAGAAAGGAGAGUACGUUUUUGUGUCCGCAGCAUCUGGUGCAGUAGGUCAGCUCGUCGGACAAUUUGCAAAAUUGGCAGGUUGUUAUGUCGUUGGAAGUGCUGGGAGUAAAGAAAAGGUUGAUCUGCUGAAGAACAAGAUAGGGUUCGAUGAGGCUUUCAAUUACAAGGAGGAGCAUGAUUUAGACGCAGCUUUGAAAAGGUACUUUCCUCAAGGAAUCGACGUCUACUUUGAGCAUGUUGGCGGGAAACUGCUUGAUGCCGUGCUACUCAACAUGAGAGAACACGGUCGCAUGGCCAUGUGCGGAAUGAUUUCGCAGUACAAUCUUCCCGAGACUCAGGGGAUUAAAAACGUGAUGCAGAUUAUUUUCAAGCGGCUGCAUAUACACGGAUUUACUCAUCGCGAUUACGAUCACAUUGUCCCCGAAUACUAUGAGUUUGUGCUGCCACACAUCCGACAAGGGAAAUUGGUGUAUGUGGAAGACAUAGUUGAAGGCCUCGAGAAUGGUCCGGCAGCCUUGGUUGGACUCUUCAAUGGUCGCAACGUUGGAAAACAAGUGGUUGCACUUGCUGGCCACUGAUUUACAUUCACCUCCUCCCACUCUAUCCAUCUAUCUAUGGUUAUUCGUUAACUCAGUUUGUGGCCUUCAUUUGAGUUGUUCCUUGUGCAUUGUAAAAAAAUAAAAAUAAGUGCUUUCUAUAUCUUUUGGAAAUAAAUUGUGAUUUAUAACUUAGGAACCUCCUAAGUGAUAGAAUUUGUAGUUUCAUACGUCACGUUUUGGGUUUGAUUUCUGGCUCAGGUGAAAAUCACACGAUAGUGGGUUAGGGGAGAAGUUUAAAUACCUUUGUGAGUUUUCUCCGUCCCUGAAAAGUAGAUUGUAGUGGCAAAACUACUAGCUAGUCCCAUUUAAAAAAAAAAAACGAUAACAUUUCUAGGCCUAAAUGUAACCUUCUAGUUUUGUUUAGGUUUUAGGCCCAUUUCACAAAAUAAUCUUUGAAUUAACAUUGAAUGGUAACUUCGCGUAAAGUCACAUAUUAUGCAUGAGUUGAAAGAUUUUUAUUUUUCAAAAAAAAAAAUAAAAAAAGAAGUGAAGAUUAUUGACACACCCCGUCCCGAAGAAGGGCAUGCUGGUCGUCACGUGAGAGUGACGUAACCAUUUACACAGUUCGGAAGCUUUAAAGAUACAAUUACUAAGAUGAAACACCCGAGGGUGAGUCCUACUUUUGUGAAUUCUGUCAGAACACCAUUGGAUUCCUCGUGGCCACCAAAACUCUGCUAUCUAGAACCUGGAGGGGCGCAAAACAAAAUUGAGUGGGUCAGUAAAACAAAGUUUUUCGAAAACAUUUCCUUUAAAACAUUUCUAAUCCCUCACUGUAAAACCUGUAUACUUUCCCAGAAAAUAACAUAAUAGUAUAUAUAACCUCAUAUAUCUCAAAUCAUCAAUCUUUAUCAAAAUCCAGAAAUCAUGCCAUGCCAUAAAUGUCAAUAACAGAAUAUGGAUGCAUCAAUAUAACAGGUGAAUUAAUAAAUCAAACGGAGACCCUACAGUGGUCCUGUACAGCUGAUUCUAUAGCUCAAUAUCCCAUCCAGCCGGAGUCACCAACUGUGACCUGUACGGCCCUGCCGGAGUCACCAACUGUGAUCUGUACGGCACUACACUGCACAUAAGUCGGAACUACCUAUAGUAGUCUGUACGACUAAGAUGGUGAAAUAAUAUGCUCUAGUGCUUCUCUCAUUAAUCAUCUGUGCACAUAAUCUAAGGUCACCUACCAGUCGGAACCCCUCUAAUGGUCUGUACGACUGGCAUGUCGGAACCACCUCUAGUGGUCUGUAUGACUAGCAUCUACUUGGAUCCAAGGUGAGCGUGUGAUGCAGGGUGAAUAACAUAAGCACUACCACCAUGGGUGCAGGUUACGAGCUCUCAACAUAAUUCACAUCAUCAUUCAUUCAUAUAAACCAUAUAAACUCACCUGAUACUCACUUGUGCGUCCACAGCACCAAUUCACAUAUAUAUAUAUGCAUCAAUAUCAAUUCAUAUAAUUUAUAAUAUGCAUCAUGGCAAUUGAAAACAUACUUUCAUAUAAAUUCAAUUUCUGGGACAAUUAAUAGUAUAUAGGUAAUACGAAAAAACAAAAACUGCCCACUCACCUGGAGUUCGCCCAACAACUCCCUAGCACCACACAUCAAGGCGUCGUGACGAUCAGCGCCUAGAACAAUAAUCAAAUCCAACCUCAGAAUUCAUAUCGAUAGAAUAUAUAACUUAUAUAAGACACGUCACUACGUAGUUCGAUUCGGAAGAUCUGCAACUCAGAUUUCAAAUCCAUAACUUCCAGAGGUCCACAAUAUACCUCUAGGACAUCAUCCAAAAAUUUCAUUACCAUCCAACGGUCGGAUCUCCGUCAAUUUCCAAAACCAAGUGACGGUUAACAUUCUACAUUAUGAACUUACAACUCCAAUUCCGAAAGAUCCGUAUAUCGGAUUCCCGAUCCGUAAGUUCCUAUAAUCCUCAAAUAUUACGUAUUACAACGUAUCAAAGUUUGGUGACGAUCCAACGGUCGGAUCGUCAAUUCAUAUUUUUACCUAAACACGAAUCGUAACGAACUUAGGUUCAAUUACUCAAUUUACGUCCAACAAUUAUCAAAACUGAACCUAGAACCUUAAACACAUGCUAAGAAUGACAUUGGGGGGCCAUUGGCCACGCGCCGCCGCACGGGCCGCCAUGGGUGGUGUUCGGCCGCCCUGGCUCGCCGAAAAAUCCAACUAUUUCCAAAAAUUCUCAAAAAAUACAGAAUCGAAGAUCUCAAUGAGUAGAGUAAACUUUAUACCUGAGGCCAAGGCCAAUUUUGUCUGGAAACACUUCAAUUUCACCAAAAUCCAUGCGGACCCUAGAAUUGGGUGAGUUCCAAUUCGUCUUCAAAUCAACUCCGUCGUCCCAACCAAUGCUUGGGAUUUGUUAUAGGUCCUAAGGGAAUGCUAAUGGUGUUAGUAAUUGAAAGAAAACAUUUCAAGAUUUGAAGAAUUUGGACAAGAAAGUCGCGGCACCACGGGUGCGUUCUUCACCAAUUCACCAUCAAAUUUCAUGAUUUUUUGGGUGAAACAUGAAGAGGGAAGGCCUAGGUGUUGAUUGGAAGUGGUACCUUGAUCCAAUUUGUGAGAAUUCCGGUGAAAAUCGUCGGAAUUUGGGUGUAGGUGUCGCGGGUAAACAGGUUGGGGGAAAACCCGUUUUCUGAUCUUCUCUCCUCCGCUUCUCGCCCUCUCUCCUUUCCUCCUUUCCUCUGUUCCGAUUGGUCGGCUUCUCUCUCUCCUCCUGAUGUCUUCUUCUCUCUUGUCCCAAAUGGGCAUUUCUGCCCAAUCUCCUUCCUCUGUUUCUUCCUCUCACGCACACACACACACAAAAAAACCUUCUUUCACUUAUAUUUAUUUAUUUUUGUUUUCCUUACAUCCAAGCCAUCAAUUUAAUUCUUCAUUAAAUCUGGGUCAUCCAAAUUUUAAUAAUAAAAUUUAUAAAAUGCCCAAACUUCAAACUUUAAAAUCUUUUUCGUUAUAACUCCAAAUAACGAACCGUCAGCACCCACACGUUCGUAGCGACGAGUACUACGAGGAUAUGUCAAGAAAACAAAUCUUAGAAGGCACAACACAACGAUUAACCUCGAAUAAUGCGCGUACCUCAACGGGCAGUUUUUGUAAAAUCCUUUAUUAAAACUUUAAAACUCUUAAAAUCAGGGACGGGCUUGUAGACAUCGAAAUUUCGGUAAAUGAAUGUUGACCGAUAAAUCAAAGUGUCGACGCUCAUGUAUUACAUAAAUUUUACACGUAGCAUAUGUCUAAACAAAAAAUCGAAAUAAGUUGGAAAAGUCAUCAAAUAGGACACGUGUCAACACCUGGCAGAAAUGACUUAUUUCAUCUGGAAUAUUAUAUUCAAAAUUAGGCCUAGGAAAAUUCUAUAAAUAGAAGCCAAUUUCAUUCAUUUCGGAAAGGAAAUUUUCAUAUUACACCUUGAAGCUCUGAAGUUCUGAAACUCCGAAGCUCUCAAGCAUCCAGGUUCCCGAAGAAUCAAGAAAGCGUUCUUCGUUCAUCGUUCUUCAAGAUCAAGCCCCGACGGCCCUUGAAGAAAGCGCUAUUCGUUCAUCGUUCUUCCAAGAUCAAGUCUCGACGGCCCUUGGAUCAACAAUCAUCCACCUUCAAGAUCAAGCCCCGAAGGCCCUUGAAGAAAGCAUUCUUCAUUCAUCGUUCUUCCAAGAUCAAGCCCCGACGGUCCUUGGAUCAACAAUCAUUCAUCCUCAAGAUCAAGCCCCAACGGCUCCUUGAAGAUCCGCUCAAAUCCACCUUCAAGAUCAAGCCCACGGCCCUUGAAAAACGUUCAUCCUUAGAUUAAGCCCAACGGCCCUUUGGAUCAAUCGCACACACCUUACGGAGAUCGAAUCAGAGGAUCAAAUUUGAGAGAGAUUGUAACUCAAAAUCAUCAAAAUACAAAUAUUAUUUUGUGCACGUUGUUCUUGUCUCGUUCGUUUCAGGAAAAUUUCGUGUUCACAAAUUUGGCACGCCUGGUGGGAUUAUCUCUACCUCUCAUCUCUUUCUCCGUUCAAGAAAUUCGAGCACACUUCCAAAAUCAAUGGCAUCAAGGAAGGCUCAAGCUGUUCCCACAACCAACGCGAAGAACAAGAGCAUCUUUCCCACAAGCGGCGCCAUUUCAGGCAUCAUAACUCGAAGCAAGGAAAAAGCUCUUGUUGCCUCCUCUUCCACCCCUACAUCAACCCUGCCGAAGGAACAAGAGCACCCGAGGUACGAACCUGUGAUCACCCUGGCCUCGCUAAGGGCGCCAAGGGAGGAAAGCCCGAAGAAGCACUCCAAGUCUUUGUUUUCCGAUGCUGACUCAAGCGACAGCACAUCCAUACAAGUUAUGGCUACCGGAGCAACUUCAAUCGAUGAACAGCUGGCUCAGAUGAAUGAAGCAAUUGCAAGGCUAACCUGAACUAUGGAAGAAAAAAACUUGCAAAUUGCAGGACUCGUCAACCGACUGAAGGCGCAGGAUGGCGAGAAACCCAACCCGAAGAUUGAUCAUUUGAAGAAAGAAGACGACGAAGAAGAUGAGCCUAUAGUGGAGAAAGCUGAAGAAAAGCUGAAGCUAGACCAAACAACAGCGCUCAUGGGAUCUCUCUCCAUCAAGCAGUUACAGGAGAUGAUAGCCAGCACGGUCAAGGUGCAAUACGAAUAGAGCUCACAUGCCUCCACGUUGUACUCAAAGCCUUACUCCAGGAAGAUCGAUGCCUUAAGGAUGCCGAGGGGUUAUCAACCGCCGAAGUUUAUGCAAUUUGAAGGAAAAGGAAACCCGAAGCAACAUGUCGCACAUUUCGUCGAAACCUGCAACAAUGCAGGGACGGAAGGAUCGCCAAGCAGUUUAUGCGCUCGUUAAAAGGAAACGCCUUUGAGUGGUACACAGACCUGGAGCCCGAGUCCAUCAACAGCUAGGAACAGUUGGAAAGAGAAUUCCUUAACCGCUUCUACAGUACCCGCCGCACUGUGAGCAUGCUAGAGCUGACGAGCACGAAGCAAUGGAGGGAAGAACCAGUCAUGGACUACAGCAACUGAUGGCGUAAUCUAAGCCUCGACUGUAAGGACAGGCUCUCUGAGAUUUCUUCAAUCGAGAUGUGUAUCCAGGGCAUGCAAUGGGGUUUACAAUACAUCCUUCAAGGUAUCAAACCACGGACUUUUGAAGAAUUAGCCACCCGUGCCCACGACAUGGAGCUGAGCAUCGCCCACCAUGGAAAGAAGGAGCUAAUCACCGAUUUCAAAAGGGAUAAAGUGUUUACUUCAAGAACAGACAAUCAUGGGAAAAAACCCACCAAGGAAGCUUUUACCACCAAUACCACCUCUAUCAAGACCUCGUCCACACCCGUCAAAAUCUCCUUCAAUAACAAAGCAAAGGAGAUAAAAAGAAGUGAGCCUUCCCACACCCAAGAUAGGUACAAAAACACCUUGAGGGAACUGGAGCAGAAGUUAUACCCUUUUUCAGACUCUGACAUGGACGCAAUGCUGGACGACCUGCUGGAGAAGAAGGUGAUUGAGUUGCCUAAAUGCAAACGCCCCGAAGAGAUGAAUUGCGUUAACGAUCCCAAGUACUGCAAGUACCAUCGUAUCGUGGGUCAUCAUGUGAGCAAGUGUUUCAUCCUAAAAGAACUCAUCAUGAAGUUGGCACAGCAAGGGCAGAUUGAGCUCGACCUAGAAGACACAGCCGCAACGCACACCACUACGAUCGUGUUCGGAUCUUUUGAUCCCGUGCCUCUUCAAGAAAUGCCUGACCAAUCCUAUCAAUGCACAAGCUACACGGCACCUUCUGCACAACCAUCAUUGGGGGCAAACGACCAGGAUGCACUUAUCGAUAAUGAAGAAGGGUGGACAUUGGUGACCUAUAAGAAGACGAGGAAGCCAAGACCACAAGCUAUAAGGCCAAAUAGGGAGCAAGCGAGAAAGCACCGCCACCGCAACAAUAGGAAGCCUAAAAGAAACAUAAGAGUUGCUAAGCCAACAUAUGCUGGGGAACCUAUGGAGCAAGAGCCACGUAUUCCCGUCUCCUUGCACGAAUACUUCCCAGAUGACUUCUUCCAACAGUGCACUAUCACUGCAUGUCACAUGGUCGAAGUAGAAAUGGAAGAACCCUCAAAAGGAAAAACUGUCACCACUGAGGGGGAAAAGACUCUUACAACUGAAGAAGGUCUGCCAACACACCUUAGCAUCGAAUGAGCGCUCCGGUUGUCAAAAGAGAUACGAAAAGCACUAGCAGCGGUCUUGGCAAGUCCCGACGACCAUAAAGUGCAAGAAAGCAAGAACGAAAGCUUGAAGCUUCGGCCAUAUGAAUGUGCCACAUGCUGUGCCGCCAAGGACGCAAUCCACUUCACCGAUGAAGACUUGCUGCUAGGAUCCAAGCCUCACAGCCAACCUCUAUUCGUCUCUGGGUACGUAAGGGAGCACAAAGUCAGCUGCAUGCUUGUGGAUGGCGGAUCAGCCAUAAAUAUCAUGCCAAAGUCAACAAUGACCACAAUCGACAUCAAGGUGGAUGAACUAUCCCUAAGCCGUCUACUAAUCCAAGGUUUUAACCAAGAAGGACAAAGAGCGAUGGGCAUGAUCCGAGUGGAGAUGACCAUUGGUGAACUCAAGUCAAGCACAAUAUUCCACGUGAUUGAUGCAAGAACUUCCUACGGUUUUCUCUUAGGAAGGCCUUGGAUCCAUGCAAAUGGAGUAGUACCGUACACCCUUCACCAAUGCUUAAAAUUUUAUCGAGAAUGAGUGAAGGUGAUUUAUGGCGACACCAAGCCAUUCACCAAAGCCGAAUCACAUUUCGCAAACGCUAAGUUCUACAUGGAUAAAGACAUGGUGCCCGAAACUUUUCCAAAAGAGAUCAAAUCCAUGGGCAAAGCAAUACCUAAAAAGCAGGAGUGGCAAGCCGUGCCCAAGAAGCAAGAAGAAUAAGUUAUGCCAUCUUCAAGCAAAAACAACGAUGAGCUUGCUAAACCUGCAACAACCAAAGGGAGUAGAACGCCCUCAAAUGGACCAAACAUACCCGUUUUUUGAUACAUCCCGACGUCUAGAAGAAAGAAUGGUCAAUCCCCGUUUGAAACUGCAGCAAGCAAAGCCGAUGCACAGCGGCACAUGGAUAAUGUAAAGUUGCUUAAAACGAAUGCAAUUUUACCUUUAACACAGCUAAGCGACACUAAGGUUGUAGGACCAUCACAAGGCUUCAUAAAAGGCCUACCAAAAGGGGUAGAACCAAGCUUUCUCCCAACCGAAGAAGGUUUUGAUCCAAACGCCUACAAACUCAUGUCUAAAGCUGGGUACAACUUCACUUCCUCUGCAAAUUUGGGAAAAAAGGGUUUGAAGACCAUCAAAGACAACAAACGUGAUCUCACUAAAACUCAGAAGAAGUUGGAGGAGCAUGGUUACGGGGUCAAUAACAACAAAGCUGGACUUGGCUUCACACCAAAUGCACCGGUGAAGAUCUCCAGCAAGACAAAAAAUGCUAGCGCUCAACACAUCAGCGUGAGCAUUAUACAAAAUAAAGAAGAGCCUCAACCUGCCCCCCAGACGUCAGUAUUUGAUAGAAUGAAUCGUUCAAGGCCCUGAGUUUCGGCAACUAAACUCAUUGGCGGUCAAAACAGAACUUCCGUCUUCAAAAGGCUUAACACGUCAGCAUCUCGAAGCUCUGUUUUCAAAAGGUUGUCGAAACCUAAGAAGCAAAGCAAUACGACUAGCUUUCCUCCACGACAGUCAGUUAUGGAAAGACUUGAAGAAGCCAAAGAGCCUUCGAGAAUGAGAAAGACGACACCAGAAGUAGAAAAGAUCGAUCGUCUGGCAGAAAAAGAUGACGUUCGAAGUUCCAUUCCUUCAAGAAUGAAGCGCCAAACAAUUUUGGAGGUUAACACAGUUGGAUCACUGAAAGUAAAAAGGCGCACCAUCAUCCACACUGGACAAUCUUCAUGCCAACAAACUCAAGGGGUCAACACUGAAGAAGAGACCCAAGACGUCUCCCACAUCACAAUCCAAGAAGAUGAAGAAGAUGAAAUCCUCGAGGAAGAUGUUAUUACAGCGCCGUCACAACUCGAAGAUGGGGGGCAAGCCACAGUUGACGAUCUCAACGAACUCAACUUAGGCACAAGUGAGGAACCAAAGCCUAUCUUCGUGAGUUACUAAGUGCAGACGAGAUAGAGAAGUAUUACCAGCUGCUAUUAGAGUACAAGGACGUCUUUGCUUAGACCUACAAGGAAAUGCCCGCCCUCGACCCUAUCAUUGAUGUGCAUCAUCUUGCAGUCAAGCCUGGAACUCAACCAAUAAAGCAAACUCAAAGACGCUAUCGAUCUGAGCUCAUCCCACAAAUCGAGGCUGAGAUUGACAAGUUGAUCGAAGCAGGCUUCAUUCGAGAGGUGCAAUACCCCAAGUGGAUCUCCAACAUCGUCAUAGUCCUCAAGAAAUCUGGACAAAUACGUGUUUGCGUAGACUUCCGAGACCUCAAUGAUGCUUGCCCAAAGGAUGACUUCCCCUUGCCAAUCAUUGAAAUCAUGAUGGACGCAACCACUGGCCAUGAGGCACUAUCAUUCAUGGAUGACUCUUCUGGAUACAAUCAAAUUCGUAUGGCUCUUGAAGAUGAGGAACUAACAGCAUUCCACACUCCAAAAGGUAUCUACUGCUACAAGGUGAUGCCCUUUGGUCUAAAGAAUGCUGGAGCUACAUGUCAACGCGCAAUGCAGAAGAUCUUCAAUGACAUGCUACACAAGAACGUAGAAUGCUAUGUAGAUGAUUUGGUGGUCAAGACAAAGAAAAGAUUAGAUCAUUUGAAGGAUUUGCGAGUAGUGUUCGAAAGGUUGCGAAAAUACAACCUCAAGAUGAACCCGUUAAAAUGUGCAUUUGGCGUCAUAUCUAGAAAGUUCCUUGGCUUCAUUGUCAAGCAUCGUGGCAUUGAAGUGGACCAAUCAAAGAUCAAGGCCAUUCAAAGCAUGCCCGAGCCAAGAAACCUGCACGAGUUGAAAAGUCUACAAGGACGGCUAGCCUUCAUCAGACGCUUCAUCUCCAACCUUGCAGGGCGUUGUCAACCGUUCAGUCGACUCAUGAAGAAAGAUGUUCCGUUCGUAUGGGACAAAGCAUGCAACAAUGCUUUUGAAAGCAUAAAGAAGUAUUUAUCAAGUCCACCUGUCAUGGGGGCGCCUGUACCAGGGAAACCGCUCAUAUUGUACAUCGCUGCUCAGGAAAGUUCAGUUGGAGCACUCUUGGCACAAGAAAAUGAAUCCCAGAAAGAAUGAGCGUUCUACUACCUCAGUCGAACGCUCACCGGCGCUGAGUUAAACUACUCCCCAAUAGAAAAAAAUGUGUCUUGCCUUGAUGUUUGCCAUCCAGAAGCUCAGACAUUACAUGCAUGCUUACACCAUCCACUUGGUUGCUAAAGCUGACCAGGUCAAAUACGUCAUGUCCAAGCCAGUUUUGACAGGGCGAUUAGCUAAAUGGGCAUUGCUUCUCAAUCAAUACGAGAUCAUCUACGUCCCAGCUAAAGCCGUCAAGGGACAAGCACUAGCAGACUUCCUUGCCAACCAUCCAAUCCCAACCGAUUGGAAAAUUUCAGACGACUUGCCUGACGAUGAGGUGUUCUACAUCGACAUAUUCCCGACAUGGACGAUGUUUUUCGACGGAUCUGCACGAGCAGACGGAGCGGGGGCAGGAGUAGUAUUCAUGUCACCACAAAGGCAAAUACUACCUUAUUCAUUCCAACUAAGCGAAUUAUGCUCCAACAACGUCGUUGAGUACCAAACACUGAUCAUCGGGCUCCAAAUGGCAAUCAACAUGGAAAUCACAGCCCUUGAGAUAUAUGGCGACUCCAAGCUCAUAAUCAAUCAACUCCUGACUGAAUAUGAGGUGAGGAAAGAUGAUCUCGUCCCAUACUUCCGGCUGGCAACACAAUUACUACAAAGGUUUGAGGCCGUAACACUAGAACACGUGCCAAGAAAAGAGAAUCAAAUGGCAGACGCUCUCGCCAACCUAGCCUCGAGCAUGACAUUAGGAAAAAACGAAGCUGCAAACGUGCCAGUCUGCCAAAGAUGGGUAAUCCCGCUUGUCACUGAAAUGGUACUGAGUGUGAUACAACAUUAUUUCAAUACUUUCGGUCAACGUUGAAGAAUGGAGAUAGCCUCUGAUUAACUACUUGGAGCAUGAAAUACUUCCAGAUGAUCCAAAACACCGCUCUGAAAACGUCGACGAGCACAUCGCUUCCUCUAUUACAAAAGGACACUCUACCGGCGAUCUUUUGAAAGAGUACUUCUGAGAUGCCUAGGCGAGGAAGAAGCCAAUCAAGCCAUGGAAGAAGCACACUCAGGAAUAUGUGGGGCGCAUCAGUCCGGACUGAAGCUUCAUUUCCAGCUCAAAAGAAUGGGUUACUACUGGCCAAGCAUGGUAAAAGACUGCCUAGAACAUGCCAAAAUGUACCAAGCCUGCCAAUUUCACGCCAACUUCAUACAUCAACCGCCUGAACCAUUACAUCCCACAACUGCUUCAUGGCCAUUCGAUGCAUGUGGAUUGGACAUCGUAUGACCAAUUGCGCCAAAGUCAUCUGCGGGAGAAGCUUACAUCCUGGCUUCAACAGAUUACUUCUCCAAGUGGGCUGAAGCUAUACCCCUGAAGGAAGUCAAGAAGGAAACUGUCGUCCGUUUCAUCAAGGAACAUAUCAUCCAUCGAUAUGGUGUACAUCGCUACAUUGUCACUGACAAUGGAAAACAGUUCUCCAACCGACUCGUGGACGAGCUCUGCGAGAAAUACAAGUUCAAGCAACACAAAUCCUCCAUGUAUCAUGCUCCGGCCAACGGUCUUGCAGAAGCAUUCAACAAGACAUUGUGCAACCUCCUGAAUAAGGUAAUCGGCAGAACAAAGAAAGACUGGCAUGAAAGAAUAGGCGAAAAACUUUGGGCAUACAGAACGACAUAUAGAACACCUACCCGAGCUACACCUUAUUCUCUCGUAUAUGGUGUGGAAGCUGUUCUACCGCUCGAAAGUCAAAUCCCCUCGCUAAUGAUGGCUAUACAAGAAGGCUUGACUGACGAAUAGAAUGCAAAGUUGCGCCUACAAGAGCUGGAAGCGCUAGAUGAGAAAAGACUCGAAGCCCAGCAACACUUGGAAUGUUAUCAAGCACGACUCUCCAAGGCCUUCAACAAGAAAGUUUUCCCUCGUUCUUUUCAAAUGGGAGAUCUCGUCCUCGCAUUGCGUAGGCCUAUCAUCACAACUCACAAGACAAAAAGCAAGUUCACAUCAAAGUGGGAUGGACCAUACGUAAUACAAGAGGUCUACACCAACGGCGCCUACUUAAUCAUGGCAGAAGACGGCUUGAAGAUCGGCCCUAUCAAUGGAAGAUUCUUGAAGCGCUACUACCCCUAAAAGGCGACAACUAACACUCCUUGUUCGCACGAGCCUAAACUGCACGAACCAAAGCUCUUGGCCCGCAAGAGCAUAAACUGUGUACAGCAAAAUCAUCAUCAAAAUCACUGUUAAAUUCAUCACUCAUUUGAACUACGUUAUGACUUGAUCUUUUCUUUGAAAGAGUACGUAGGCAACUUGAAACUUCAAAACUUCAAGUACAGUCACAUCAUCAUAAAAAAAACAAACACUUUGAAGAAUAAAAAGCAAAUUCAAAAUAUGAAUACUUUAUUUCUUUAAAGGAAUGAUUUGGUUACAAAGCCGUAUUACAAAGGUGAGCAUUACGCCAACAUCACCACCGAGGAAAGUUGUGACCAAAAGGCACUACACAGCAUAAACUCGCUGCAGUCUUUUGCACAACCCCACAAGGUAAAGGUGAUGCACUGGAACAAGCUCCAAGCAGCAGCGGCAAAGAGCCCAUGGCAAGCAACAAGGUCAAUAUGCACGGCAACGUCCCCCACCGAGGAAAGUUGUGACGAAAAGGCACUACACAACAUAAAUUCACUGCAGUCUUUUGCACAACCCCACAAGGUAAAGGUGACGCACUGGAACAAGCUCCAAGCAGCAGCGGCAAAGAGCCCAUGGCAAGCAGCAAGGUCAAUAUGCAUGGCAACGUCCCCCACCGAGGAAAGUUGUGACCAAAAGGCACUACAUAGCAUAAACUUGCUGCAGUCUUUUGCACAAACCCACAAGGUAAAGGUGACACACUAGAACAAGCUCCAAGCAGCAUUGGCAAAUAGGGCAGCUAUAAGACGGUCCUUCAAAGCACGCUACAGUAGCAAAGAAACCAAAAUUCCACGCAAUCGCACUACGCAACCCCGCAGCGAUUACGCAAACAGUUUUUUUACACCGCACGGCAACGUCACCACCAAGGGAAAACUGUGACCAAAAGGCAUUACACAGCGAAGCCCCACUGCAGUCUCUUGCACAGCACCACACGGCAGCGCACCACCGAGGGAAAACUGUGAUCAAAAGGCACUACAUAGCGAAACCCCGUUGCAGUCUCUUGCACAAACCCUAGGCAGCAGAAAGCACAGAUAUGCCCACAUCUUGCUCACUCCAAAUACCACGUCUCUGAAAGCUUCAUGAAGGUUCCAACAUCACGCUCUGCCUUCUCCAAGAUUAAAGAUUCCUAGCAUCACAUCAAAAUAAAAAUAAGGGUUUUAUUAAUGAAAGACAAAUUUAUUACAAAUGCAAAUAAAAAAAAAAGGAAAUACAGUUUCUGCAAAAAGAAGAAAAAAAAAGACAAAGAAAAUAACAUAAAGGAAUUGGGCCACCCCAGCCUCGUCUCCAUCGACAGAAAGAGAGUUAAAGCCCAGAGACCGGUUGACGCCAUGGGCCGUGCAAUAGGCUUAUUCUGCUUCUUCUUAUUCGUCGAUAGGGUCAUGCUGAUGAAAGGACACCAAAUUCAUCAAAGUCGACCAAGCCACACUCUUUGAUCUUAUCCUGGCUGCGAAUUAUUUGAACAUAAAGAGGUUGCUGGACCCAACCAACCGUCAUCAAUAUCCUCGAUCUUCCUCUCUCUCUCUCUCCCACUCAGCCCCUUUCCUCUCUCUCAUUCGCCAUUUCUAACAUAUUUGAUGUGAAGGGAAAUGUGACGGGGUUUGGGAGUCCCGAUUAGGCACGAACGCAUGAAGCAGCGACCAAGAUGGCGUUUGUGAAGACGACUCUGCUAAAAAAUGGGGCUACUUGCCAUGGCCACACCGUCAUGGAUGAGCUCAGCUUUGGGAUUACUGGUGAGAAUGUGCAUUACGGAACGCAUGUGAAUCCCCAAUUACAAUCCCAUAUUCCGGGAGGUUCUUCCUGUGGUUCUGCCAUGGCUGUUGCAGCCGGUCUUGUUGACUUUGCUCUUGGAACUGAUACAACUGGAUGUGUUAGAAUUCCAGCAUCAUUUUGUGGUGUCAUUGGGUACCGACCAUCCCAUGGGGUUGUAUCUAUGCUUGAAGUUUUGCCAAAUUCACAAAGUUUAGACGUUGUUGGAAUCUUUGCCCGCGAUCCAUCUAUUCUAUAUCGUGUUGGACAUGUUUUACUUCAACUGAAUUUUGUGGAACCUAAAAGGGCGAGACACCUUAUUUUUUCCGAUGAUCUCUUUCAGCUUUCUAAAAAGUUCCUACGGAGAAGACAGUACAUGUUGUCAGCAAAGCAAUCGAACAUCUAUCCAGGUACCAACCUCCAAGCCAGCCGCACGACCUCCUUCUUAAUCGCAGCAAGCGGGUUUUGGUUCGUUCCAGGAGACCUUCGCCGAAAGAGAGGUACCGCUGGAGAAGAUACUCGGGUUUCGAGUAGGUCAACUUCGACGGCUUUCGGUGUGGCGAAUGGGGUUUCGGGUAUGCAGAGCGUGCUGUUGAGCUCAAAGCACUUGAAGGCGAUACAGGAGCUGCUCGAUGAGGUUGUGAACGUCGGGAAAUGGGAUGAAGACUGAGAUGUCAAUAAAAGGGUAAUGGGCAGCAGGGUAAUGCGGCAGCUAAGUCCUUGAUGACAGAAACCAGAGAUGGUCCAACAUGCGAUGAAGGGAGUGGAAAACGUGCGACUGAGUUGAGCACUGCUGAGAGGCAGAAGAUUCAGAUGAAGAAGGGGAAGCAGCAACCCAGUUUUUUCUCCCCAGCUGAUCAUUCUCCCCGACCGCAUCGACAACAUCAACACGAGCAGUGCGCUUCUUUACUCAAAGCUCAGCAACAGCAGCAGCACCGGCGGCUUCGAGGUCGAGUCCUGGAAGCUCCCUUCCUCCAAGUACAAAUGGAUGGUCCCGCAGCCAAACGGACGUCAGGGCUCACAACGUUGCUGCAAAACGCUUCCGUCGCCACAACGUCGGCAUCAACUUCGAGCCCUCAUCCGCCGAACCCAUCUCCAAGCUCCUAUCCCGCACCCUAUAUAUAUAUAUAUGUACGUAUGUAUGUAUGUGUGCAUGAAAAAAAAAUUUGUGCACCUAGCACUGAAAGCGAAAAAAAAUAAAAAAAAAUAAAAAUAUAUAAUGAUGGUGUCAGCCACCACCCUAAAAUAUACAUAUAUAUAUAUAUAUAUAUAUAUAUAUAAUAAAAUUUUUGGAGUAGUGGACAAUACCAUGAUUUAAAGCCAAAAAAAAAAUAUAUAUAUAUAUAUAUAUAUGAUAAUAAAAAAAAAUGUUUUGAUCUUUGGUACAUCCGCACCAUAUAAAAAAAGAUGUAUAAUAAUAUAUAAUAUGUAUGUACGCAUGUAUGUAUGUGUGCAUGAAAAAAUAAAAUAAAAAAAUUUGUGCACCCAGCACUCACUGAAAGCGAAAAAAAAUAAAAAAAAUAAAAAUAUAAUGAUGGUGUCAGCCACCACCCUAAAAUAUAUAUAUAUAUAUAUAAUAAUAAUAAAAGUUUUGGAGUAGUGGACAAUACCAUGAUUAAAGGCCAAAAAAUAUAUAUAUAUGAUAAUAAAAAAAAUGUUUUGAUCUUUGGUACAUCCGCACCAUAUAAAAAAAGAUGUAUAAUAAUAUAUAAUAUAUAUGGUAGUGGAUGCAUGACAAAAGAGGAGAAUUGUGCCACACCAUUUGCACAAUUGGUGGUGGUCAGCACCGAAAGCAGACGGAAAAGAAGAAACAAAAAUAAAUAAAUAAAUAUAUAUAUAUAUAUAUAUAUAUAUAUAUAUAUAUAUAUAUAUAUAAAGAAGUAAAUGGAUUCUUGGUGGCUAGCACCAUGCAAAAAAAAAGGGAAAGGGUUUUGGUGGAUCAGUCCACGUGAAAAAAAAAAUAAAAUAUAUAUAUAUAUAUAUAUGUAAAUAAUAUAUGUAUGUAUACAAAAAAAAACAAAAACAAAAACAAAUGCAUUGAGAGAAAUAAAGUCCAUUUUAUUUAUUUUUCUGGGAAUUUUACAUAAAUUUGAAUUAUACAUACCUAAAAAAUAUAUAUAAAAAAAAGGGUCAAAUCAAAUUUACAGGAGGGGAUUUUCAAGGACGAUCAAGUGAAGCCUCACAACUCGGCGAAGCUCUAGGAAGAAGACGCGCCGGACGUUGGCUGUUUGGCGCCUCAUCACUCAGCGGAACCCCAGGAGGAGGAGGCACCGAAGGUUGAUCAUUUGGAGCUUCAUUAUGCGGUACAGCCCCAGAAGACGAAGGCAAAUGUUGUUGGAACAAACCCACAAACCUCUGAUGAUCAAGUAAAAUCUAACCAUCAGAUUCCUGCAUAUGGUCAAUCUUCUUCUUCAUAUUUGUAGCAUAGUUAUGUGCGAGCCUGUGCAACUGUUUAUUCUCAUGCUUAAGCCCUCUAAUCUACUGUUUGAGACUCAUCACCUCAGCGGCCAAUGAUUCAACUUGACGGGUUCGAGCAAAUAGGCGUUGGGCCAUAUUAGACACAGAACCUACACACUGCACACUGAGAGCCAGAGAAUCCUUAACAGCCAACUCAUCAGACCGUUUGGAAAGUAGUCUGUUAUCUUUGGGAGUGACAAGGUUCCGGGCCACCACCGCAGCGGUCAUAUCAUUCUUCAUCAUCGAAUCCCCAACGGUAAGAUGACCAGUAGGGGAUAUGAAGGAUGGGCGCCAUAUGUUAUCUGGAGAAGGCGGGGCUGCCUCUUCACCAAGGUUCAAAUCAAAACGACGGUCGGAGGGCCCAGACAUUUUCAAAGGUGUUGAAGAAAGAAGAGGUCGGACAAAUCAAGAUCUUAAAAGUGCAAGAAGGGAGUUUCUACAAGCGAAAAUUCAAGUGUGAUUUGAAACGAACUGCGUGCCUCUAUAAAAAUCAGCACUCGACGGGAUUUCAAAGAUCGAAGAGGCGAGCUCAGAAUUCGAAUAGGCCAAUUCAAAAAUCGAAGAGGCAAGCUCAGAAAUUGGAGAAGCAUCUUGCUUUUACAGACGCAUCAGCACCCUUCACGCGUAAACUCAGCUUUGCGGAAAUCACGGGCAAUUUGUCGAAGCGUCGAUCCCAGAUAUCGAAGAGGCGACAGUCUUUUUCAGCCUCGUCAACACCUGUCACAUGCACACUCAGCUUGACGGAAAUUACAGAUAAUUUGUCGAAGAUUUCUGAUAAAGAAGAAAGCACGUGAAGCCAUACUGAUCAAUCACGCAUUGAUUGCCGACACGAGUAAAAGAAUAGUACCUCUACAGGUACUAAAGAAUUUCCUACAACUGUCCACAUUCACCCUCCAUAGCAAGGCAGACAUACAAAACCUUUCUUCAUCUCCGAGAACCUUUCUUCAUCUCCGAGAUGCCUUCCCAACGAAGCCUUUCGGGUUACUCAGUGUUUCUUAUUCCUUGGGGUACCUCUGCAAACAAAUGACACCAAAGCAAAAGUAUCUCAUAUCACUAGGGUAGAAAGCAAGAGUAUCUCAUAUCAUGAUUUCUCCCCAUCCUUUCCUUUAUCCUUGUUCUUACCUGCAAAGACAAGGAUAAAGAAAAUAAUAUGUCGGAACCUCCACUCAAACUCGGGUAAGGAAUCGACUACCUGGAACCUUUGCCCAGUUGCUUACAUGGUAUUACUCUCGAGUACUCGUCUUCCACUGCUGCUAUACUUCAAAAGAAGCUGCCACAUCUGCCUGGAGAACAGAUAAGGCAAGUGAAAAUGAUACCUUGCAGCAUGUGGAGACAACGUGUAGAAGGAACAAGCAGAGAAGAAUGCAGCCUGCACAGUCAACCAGCAGAAGGAGUCCGAGUUGAGGAACUCAAGAAGCUGCCACAUCUGCCUGAAGAAACAAGCAAAGAAGAAUGCAGCCUGCACAGUCAACUCAGUAAAAGAAGUCUGAACUGAAGAACUCAAGAAGAUGCCACAUUCUCCUAGAAGAAUAGAUAAGGCAAAGGAAAAUGAUACAUUGAAGCAUGUGGAGACAAGCACAACAAAGCACGUGCUGAUUCAUCCACAACUUCUUCAAAAGCAAAAGUACCUUAUAUCAUCAGAGUCGAAAGCAAAGAUAUCUCAUGGCAUGCUUUUUUCUUACCCUUGCUCUUGCCUGCGGGACAAGUAGAAAGAAAGCAAUCGGUCGGCACUUGGAAAGAUUGAAGAAAGAAACAGACCAACACCUUCACCUCGUGCCUGCUUGUCAUGUGUUCAAGUCAACCUUCAAGAAUCAAGCCUCAACGGCCCUUGAAGAAGCUUCUAGCCAAAUUCAAGAUCAAGCCUCGAAGGCCCUUGAGGAAAUCACAAGUCCGAUUCAAGAUCAAGUGUCCACCACCCUUGAAUCAAACCCAAUUCAAGAUCGAAGCUGUGGAAAGUCAACAAGCGCAAAAACAAAUACGUGUCAAUUCAUCCACUACCAAAGUCAAAGAUCAUCUACCACAUGAAGCUCCUUGUGGUCUAAAUUCAACCUUCAAGAUCAAGCCUCGACGGCUCUUGAAGAAAUCUCCAGCCCAAUUCAAGAUCAAGCCUCGAUGGCCCUUGGAUCGACAUCUACAGUAAGGGACUUCAAAACGCAUCUCCUACACGUGACAAGCACAUGUAUACGACACGCCUUGAAGUGGGGGCAUUUGUAGACAUCGAAAUUUCGGUAAAUGAAUGUUGACCGAUAAAUCAAAGUGUCGACGCUCAUGUAUUACAUAAAUUUUACACGUAGCGUAUGUCUAAACAAAAAACGAAAUAAGUUGGAAAAGUCAUCAAAUAGGACACGUGUCAACACCUGGCAGAAAUGACUUAUUUUAUUUGGAAUAUUAUAUUCAAAAUUAGGCCUUGGAAAAUUCUAUAAAUAGAAGCCAAUUUCAUUCAUUUCGGAAAGGAAAUUUUCAUAUUACACCUUGAAGCUCUGAAGUUCUGAAACUCCGAAGCUCUCAAGCAUCCAGGUUCCCGAAGAAUCAAGAAAGCGUUCUUCGUUCAUCGUUCUUCAAGAUCAAGCCCCGACGGCCCUUGAAGAAAGCGUUCUUCGUUCAUCGUUCUUCCAAGAUCAAGCUCCGACGGCCCUUGGAUCAACAAUCAUCCAUCCUCAAGAUCAAGCCCCAACGGCUCCUUGAAGAUCCGCUCAAAUCCACCUUCAAGAUCAAGCCCACGGCCCUUGAAAACAUUCAUCCUUAGAUCAAGCCCAACGGCCCUUUGGAUCAAUCGCACACACCUUACGGAGAUCGAAUCAGAUGAUCAAAUUUGAGAGAGAUUGUAACUCAAAAUCAUCAAAAUACAAAUAUUAUUUUGUGCACGUUGUUCUUGUCUCGUUCGUUUCAGGAAAAUUUCGUGUUCACAGGGCUGUCACAAUUAUUAUUUUAGGAGAAUAAAAAAAAAAGUAGUCCAUACGGAAGUACACAUAAUUAUGAUGAUGAUUUUAUGUAAUAGGAAGUAUAAAUUUACAUUUACAAAGUAUAAUUUGAAUUUGAAAAUUGUGGUUGUGAUAUAUCCGAUAUAUGGAAAAAGAAAAAGGAAAUUGUAAUUGUGAAACUUGUGAAACUUGUGACGUUGAACGAGCAACAAAGUUGGAAUGGAACAGUCUCACAGAGAUUUUUAAGUGCGACCGGUAUAUUGAAUGAUAAAUCACAUGUCAUUAUAUAAAUAGUGGGAUAUGUGUGCUAAAAAGUUAAUAAUUUAAAAAAUAAAUUCUCACAACUUUUAUUAAAACACGUGGUUUAUCACUUGUGUUUCCGUUACAACUAAAAAAUUUUCAACAGUCUUGACUCUCCUCGCGGACAUGCGGCCUUAAUUUGUUCUAAUCCCACACGUGUCAAGAAUAUACACUCAAAGCGGCUCCGAGCUUACGCCAUUGCCGCCCUUAAUAUUCUUCGCUUAAUAUUUAAUAUUCUUCGCUUUCCACCUCUACCAAUUCCCAUUCCCAUUCCCAUCGAUUUAAAACCACCAGCAGCAGCAUUGCUCAAAUCACCCUCCGCCUACACAAACACACACACACACACACACACACACACACAGAGGACCAAUCUCAAUGGCGGCGAGUACAGAGGGAGUGAUCAGCAACAAACAGGUGAUACUGAAAGACUAUGUGACCGGCUUCCCCAAAGAAUCUGACAUGCAACUCACCACCGCCACCACCAAGCUCAGGCUUCCAGAAGGUUCCAAAGGGGUUCUGGUGAAGAACCUCUACUUGUCCUGCGACCCUUAUAUGAGAAGCCGCAUGACCAAGCGUGAACCUGGCGCCAGUUAUGUUGAUUCCUUCGACGCCGGUUCGGUCAGUCACUGUAUAUAUUAUCUUACAUCUCUCUCUAAUUAUUUUAUUAUUUUUAGUGUAAUUUCUUCGUUUUAACUCAAUUUUGUUUAGUCUACAAAUUUAGUCUAUCUAGUCUCUGCCUGCCUUUUUAAUAUUUUGUUUCAAAUCAAAGUUGAAUACUUUUAUAUCUCUAGGUUAGGAUAGUUGGUAACGCGGUGUGCCCUUCCACUUUUAUUCAAUUUCAAAAUUAGGGGCUCCGUAAUUUAGGGUUGUUCAAUUGGGAUCAGAGGGAUUUUAAUGGAUUUAUAAAUUCAUGAAUUUUGAUGAAGUUUAAUUGAUUUAUAAAGAUUUUAAGUACAAUUUUGAGUGAAUUCUCUCGAAUGCUCAGGGAUAUCUGUGAAAUUUGAGCAUGUUUAAAUUACACUUAGAAAUCUCUCUAAUUCUCUCCAAUUCCGCAACUUUUUAAAAUCUUUUAAAAUCAAUUUCUAAUGAAAUACACCCAGAAUGUUAUAACAUCCUUUAUAAUUUGAUUAAAUACAUCUAGAUUUCAGAGACUCACUUAAAAUCACGAUUGAAUACCAUAAUUCGAAUACCGUAUUGUAAAAUAUAUAAAUAAAAUUGAAUCCUUGAGGCAUUUCUCAUGUAGUACAAACGGAACUGAUGAAGAACCCAAUUAUUAAUCUUGUUUUGUAGAUAGCCUUUUUGUUCGGAUGGUGUAAUCCAAAUUUAUCUUGUUUGUGGUUUUGGGGCUGUUUUAAUGAUUUAUAUAGUUUGAGACAACUUGUAAUUCGCGGUUUUUGAUGAUACAAUGCUAUACUUAUAUCAGUUAUAUCUUAUCAAUACUGAGACAUAGCUUCCUUAUUAAUUGGCAUUCUAUCCAACGAAAAAGCUUUGUUUAUGCUAUGUACAGAUCAUAAAAAGGAUAGCAUCUAUUCGAUGUUGUAGUUUUAUUUGACGUGUUUGAUUAUUGAAAUGCUGGUGUGGCAGCCUAUAGUCGGAUAUGGAGUCGCCAAAGUUUUGGAAUCCGGGGAUCCCAAGUUUAAGAAAGGCGAAUUGAUUUGGGGAAUGACCGGGUGGGAGGAAUACAGCGUCAUCACUUCAACAGAGUCUUUGUUUAAGAUUCAGCACACUGAUGUGCCUCUCUCUUACUAUACUGGAAUUCUUGGUAUGUUGUUAUAUAUUGGUUAUUGCUAUUUUCCUUGCCUUUGGAUUUAUUUUUUAAAAUUUUGUUAUGCCACAAGCAGCUAUCUCAAAGUCUUGUAUCUUUUAUGAUGGUACUUGAAUAUAGCGAGCUAAGGAACCUGAACUUCACAAGGGCCUAACCCGUUGGAUGAAAUUCGUGAAUCAUUUUUGUAUGUCAUGGAUUGUAUUGAAUUCUUGUUGCAUGUUUGAGUACCCUAGUUUCAUUGGACUAUUCUCAUGCUAACUUCAGGAGCGAAUAGAUUGUGUCAUAAUAAUCUUUUUAUUAAAAGUAGCAUUUCCUCAUGGAAGGAUUCUGUAUGGUUGUAUAUAUCCCUAGUUGUGAUCUGCCUCCACUCCAGUGACAUCUAUUAUACUACUUGAAGUGAACUGAUUUGUUAAUUCUCAAAUCUCUUUGUAAACUAGAUCUUUACAACAGAUGUCCCAUAUUCUUUUCAUAAUUAGUAAUUUGAUUUGGAAGUACGGAAAUUAUUUAGCAUAACGUAAUUCUAGUUCAAUUGGUCAUAUGGAUCUGUAGCAUUGUUCUCAUGUUGAAUGCAAUUGUUGAAGCGAUCCAUCCUAAUUAAUUCAUCCAAAUAUUCAGUUAUAUGGCUUUGUAAUGCAUGAUAUAUUUACUGGAUGCUCAAUGCUCAUCAAUGUAUCCAUUUUAUGUAGGUAUGCCUGGAAUGACUGCUUAUGCUGGGUUUUAUGAGAUCUGCAAUCCCAAGAAGGGAGAGACGGUCUUCGUUUCAGCAGCAUCUGGAGCAGUAGGUCAGCUUGUUGGCCAAUUUGCAAAGUUGUUGGGUUGCUAUGUUGUUGGAAGUGCUGGAAGCAAAGAAAAGGUGAGUUAUGGUCGAUUCCAACUCUAUCUUAGUUGGCAUUUCUGUGAUUGCAACUCCAUUGGAUGAUUAUCCUUGUUUUAGAAACACGAGUUAGUGAUGUGUGCCAAAUUUGUGACUGGAAACGUUUUGACUAAUAGAAAACAGGAAAAUAAGAGAGAACAUGUUGGAAAGUAAAGAUAUUGCUGACCCUUUAUCUUCAUAAUCAAGUUAGUAAAUUCAGCUUUAACCUGCUGUCUCAUCUUGUUGGCAAAAUGUUCAUAUCAUAUGAAAUCGUAAGCAUAUGCAACUUAGAAAAUCGCACAGAAUGUGCAUCUAUGAGCUUUCCUGUUCUCAUUCUACAAUUUACGUAUUACAAAUGACUAUUUUAUACCCAUUCUUGGCAUAUUUUAAUAAUAUCGUAUCAUUUCUGAGUUUAGGUUGAUCUGCUGAAGAACAAGUUUGGGUUUGACAACGCUUUCAAUUAUAAAGAAGAACCUGAUUUGGAUGCAGCUUUGAAAAGGUCAGUUGAUCAGAAUCAAACUAUUAUUUUAUAGCUUUGACUAUCAAACUAUUAUUUUAAAGCUUUAACUUAUGUCUUAAUUACAAGGGGAAAGUCCAAUAAAAGGCAUUAGCAAUCUCUAACAUCAUCAAGAUUUAGUGAUUUAGCCGCCAAUCCUAAAACAGUGAGAGUAAGUUGAAAUGCGCAACAGUGUGAGCAUGUGGCUGUUGACGAAAAACUCAUGUCUUUGUCCUCUUUGUAGAUAUGUUCCAUGGUUUUCAGUGUUUGCUUAGUCUAAAAUUGUGAUUUUCUCACCAGGUACUUUCCUGAAGGCAUUGACAUAUACUUUGAAAACGUUGGGGGGGAAAUGCUUGAUGCAGUGCUACAAAACAUGAGGGUCCAUGGCCGGAUUGCAGUUUGUGGGUUGAUAUCGCAGUACAACAUUGACGAGCCUGAAGGUUGUCGCAAUUUAAUAUAUCUGAUCAGUAAACAGGUUCGCAUGCAAGGUUUCCUGGUUUUUAGUUACUACCAUCUUUACGAGAAGUUUCUUGAAAUGGUUCUGCCGGCAAUAAAAGAAGGGAAGAUAACGUAUGUGGAAGACGUAGUGGAAGGACUUGAGAGCGCUCCAGCCGCUCUGAUAGGGCUCUAUGCCGGCCGCAAUGUAGGAAAGCAGGUGGUUGUGGUUUCCCGUGAAUGAUUUCAUCAGGCUCUCCAUGCCUCCGAAGUAUCACCCUUUAGCUAUAUGGUGUAAUCGUCUAGUGUGAAAUGCAAAUGCUUUGACAUUUACAAGUUCAUAUUCUACAGGUUUAGGGCAAGCAUAUUAUCUCGACGAGAACUGUGCUUGAUCUCUUACCUUAAGCUAUAAAUAAAUGUCUUUCGACUUCCUUAAUGAUAUCAAGCACUAAGUUUAGUAGAUCUUUCAAUUGUGUAAGAGGUUUUAUUUAUUUAUUGAAUAAAUGAUAUUAUCUACAUUAAGAGGAAGGGACAGCUUCACAAUGGGUUAGUAAUAAUGUGGUUCAAAUUUGCUUUUGUCAAGAAUUGAACCUAAGACAUCUCACUUAUAAAUGAAGAAGAAUAAUACUAGAUCUUACUAGUCCUAAGUGGUAUGUCAAACGAAUGUUGACUUUUCUUUUUACUUUUUGGCUAACGGACCCUCCUUGUCAAAAUAUUGAAUAAGCAAACAAGUUGGAAAGUACAAGUCUCGGCUUUCAGAUUUGGAUCCUUCGCUGUGCCUCCUACGCAAAGCACACAAGCCGUUGGAUCAAAAUUCAACGGUUACAAUUAUUAUAACUUUUAGAAGAUCCUUUUGUUUGUAUCCGUUGGAUUAAAAUCCAACAGUUCGUGUGCUUUGCUCAAAAGGCUUAACCUACCAAGCUCAGGAGAGGAUCCAACGGCCAGUAUCAUGACUUCGGUGACUAGCAGAUGUGUAUCCUUAGAGGGAGGGUGAAAAAUAAUUUUGCAUUCGUGUAAGUUGGAAAAGAUUCAAUUGCCUUAUAUGGAAAAAAGUUCUAUGACCAAUUUGCAAAAACUUCCAACAUACGUUCAUGAAAAAAAAUGCACAAUUUGCAUCUCUAAAUAAUAUACAAAGUACGAUGCAAAUGUUAUUUCUAAACUUUCUAAGCAAUUUUGUUAUUUUAAUUAGGAUCCUUAUUUUAUAUUACUGUUUUCAAUGAUUAUUUUGAACAACAAUAUACAAACCACGAUGUCUAUCUUAAAGGAUUCUUGAACGUACUUAGGUAAAUUGCUUACAACCUUUAUAUUUGGAAUUGUGCAUUAUAGUUAAACUUCUUAUUUUAUCAUCAUUACUUGUAGAUUAACCAUGAAAAUCUAAAGCAUCAAGUGCAAGCAAAUGGGUGGCAAGUAUGGCUUUGAUUUCACACGUAGACACUAUGUUUACAUAUGUACAUGUUGUCCAUAUGUUGCUUGCUUCAUAUAUUAGGAGUUCAUCCCUAGUUAGCCUAUAACUUUGGCUGAAAACUUAUGAAUCUGAAAAUUUUGAUUUAAGGACUUGGGUAGAUAUUUGACAUUUUGCAUGAGAGAGAAAGGAAGAAAGAUUUAUUAUGUUCUCCAUUUUGUGUUUUUCCAGUCUUGAAUUCUAGGAAAGUAAGAUUAGGGAUUGAGGCCCAGCAAAUUAAGCUUUAGAAGAAGUACGAGGCCAAGGUCCCCUACUCCUGUCAUCAAAAGCUUCAUUUUACAGCACCCUUUAUGCAUUGAUGUUCACGUUCUAAAAAAAAUGACACCAGCAAACCAAAAAAAAACGCGGAGAGGCUAGUAAAAAUAAUAAGGCAAGUGGAUGUUUUUAGAAAUUGCAAAAAAUUAUAUUCGAAGGUAGUUUCAAAUUUCACAUAUUUUUGUCUGUGUCAGCUUAAUUUUGUUUUUUUCAUGUCAAUUUUGACAUUUCGGUUGGAGUAAAUGAUAAGUCGUUUAUUAUCGUUAUAUAUCUAUGGGAGAUUUUUUAUUUUCCACCGCUUGCAAUUCCCAUUCCCAUUGCUUUGCAAUCAUCAGCAGUAGCAUUGCUUAUAUCGUCUUACGCCUACAGAGAGAGAAUCAAUCUCAAUGGCGGCAAGUACAGAGGAAGUGAUCAGCAACAAACAGGUGGUACUGACUCUACCGAGAGACCAUGUGACUAGCUUCCCCAAAGAAUCUGACAUGCAACUCACCACCACCACCACCAAGCUCAAGCUUCCAGAAGGUUCCAAAGGGGUUUCGGUGAAGAACCUAUACUUGUACUGCGACCCUUGUAUGAGAGGCUGCAUGAC